rnacentral:rRNA from 1 species
UACGUAGGGACCAAGCGUUGUUCGGAUUUAUUGGGCGUAAAGGGCGCGUAGGCGGCCAUGCGUGUCUUUCGUGAAAUCCCUCGGCUUAACUGAGGACGUGCGGAAGAAACUGCAAGGCUUGAGUCCGGGAGAGGGGGGUGGAAUUCCCAGUGUAGCGGUGAAAUGCGUAGAUAUUGGGAGGAACACCGGUGGCGAAGGCGGCCCCCUGGACCGGUACUGACGCUGAGGCGCGAAAGCGUGGGUAGCAAACGGG